rnacentral:lncRNA from 1 species
GGGCAGUACGGGGGUGCUGAGCGCGUUGGGAGCACCGGGAGGGCAGUACGGGGGUGCUGAGCGCGUUGGGAGCACCGGGAGGGCAGUACGGGGGUGCUGAGCGCGUUGGGAGCACCGGGAGGGCAGUACGGGGGUGCUGAGCGCGUUGGGAGCACCGGGGUGGCACGCUGCAGAGGGUAAGCCUGGUGCAGGACCAACCUGUGAGUGCCGGGGGCGAGGGGCAGAGAACAGGAGCGAUGUGGUACUGUGCUCUCGCCGCCUCUCCCUUACCCCCACCGGCAGCGUAGCAGCCAGUGCAGGCGAGGUGCUUGUGACCAGCAUGACGGUGGCGUUCGGGCCUCGAGGGAUCCUCUGUGGUGCUAAAGCAUAGUUUGGCAAUUGAAGCAGCAUCACAGGUCUGUAGGAUCAGCAGCCAGAUGCAAAGAACAAGCUCUGACUUGCAACGUGCGCACAGUACCACUUCCCUUAAAGAGAGGCUGAUUGGUGGUUACAGACGUCACUGGCUCUGGAUAUUUGCCCACAGAGAUGAGACGACCAUAAAUAUUAAUUGUCUUAGUAAUGGUACUGCAGAUUUAGUGCUGGCUGUGUUGCAGGAAAUACUUCCGAAAAGCAACGUCGGUCUUGCAGGACGUUUAUUUUUGCCAAUCUGCGCUCCGGGAGUUCUUGAGGUCCCUUGGAGGUGAGUGGGGGGGGCGCGCGGCUGCAGUGCCGCUCCCGGCCGUGUCCGCCAGGCGGCGACUGCGAGGCAGGGCCCGGCGCUCGGGGGCGCGAUUUGGAAGCGGCGCCCGCGCAGAGCGAGGCGUUGGCCGGGCCGGGCCUGAAGGGCAGUGGCGGCGACGGCCGCGGGGCCGGGAGAGGGUGUGGGUGGUGGUGGGAGGGGGGUGGCCGCCUUACACGGGCUUUCAAGAGAAUAAUAACGAAAUUUAACGAUAAAAUAAAAAUUUAAAAAGACGACA